CCCUGCACCCCAUCACAUGGGCUUAUUGGGCAUUUUGGGCCCCAACGGGGGACUGGCCACAGAAAAACAAAGCCAUCCCAGCGGGAAUGAGGUGCUGGAAUGAUGCAGCACCUCCUCUGCGGGGGGUCACGGACUGCGGGGGGGAUGAGGGAUAGAGCGGGGAUGUCCAGCCCUGCUCAGCUGAGUUCGGCUGUUUGAGGCUGAGUUCGGCUUUGUGAGGACGUUUUGUGGUCGUGGCCGGUGAAGCAGACCAGGAUUUGCCAUCUGCAAAUCCAGGAGCAACGGGAAUUCCUGCUGGAAGUGAAGGAUAUGAAAAUCCCGCUCAAAUGAUGCGUGAGUUCCUCAGGAAUUGGGCUGCGAGCUGGUAAAUUGCUGCCUUUAAUUAAUGACCUUGAUUUAC